rnacentral:misc_RNA from 1 species
ACAAGCACUUAGAUACGUAGGUAAAUCUUUUUUCUUCCUUUCCGAUUUUUUUCUGCCCUUUCCCCUCUCCCCUUCGUCUUCUCAGUCUCUCCCGUUCUCGUUCUCUCGUUUCCGCUACCAUCGGGUUGUGUUCGUAUAAACAGAUCUUCCACUGCCAGCCCUCGCCCAUCAUCGCGACUACAACCACGGCCGCCACCCCCUCCCCUGCCAUCGCACAAAACGAGAGACACACCCACAAGCAAACGAAAAAAGAAGAAAGAGCCGCCGCAACAACAACAGCGACAACAAGAGGCGUUUUUACAUACACUUGCGCUUACAUACAAACGCUUUCAGGUGAGAUCGCCGCUUCCUCCACCCUCCUCCGAUCGUCAGACCUUUUAUUUCCCUCCCCCUUCUCUCCUCUCCUUUCCCUGCCGGCGACUCUGUGCGGUCCCUCUGCGUCCUGGUCUGCGUUACGUGUACACCAUACCCACACCCCCUUCUCACCGCGUCUAUUUUUCCUUUUAUUGUUCGUGUUCGCGGUGUCUUUUUCUUUUUUUAGUUUGAACUUCAUCAAAGGUCCGCAUCCUUUUCUCCCCCCACUCCCUCCCACACCCACAUCAACACCACCAACCACUUCUUCUUUUUGUUUUCGCUUGCCUUCGUCAUUGUCAGCAUCAGCCACACCAUCAUCUCAUCAUUUUUUUUCUUUCCCUUAUUGUUUUCUUGUGCUUGUGCUUGUGCUAGCGUGUGCGUGUGUCUGUCUCUCGCUCUCUUUACGGGGUGUGUUGCAACUUCUCUAUAUUUUUUUUUGUGUCUUCGUGCUCCUUUUUUCCCUCUGCUUGGUGUGAGGAAGGUCCUAUCAAACUCUCUGCCCGUUUUGUGCCCUUUACUCUUCCACCACCACCGUCACCUUGCCUCUCCCUCUCCUGUUGCUUAUCUCUUUUUACUGUGUCGUUGCCGCGAGGACGCAACCUGCCUCUCUCCAUACAGUAUCAUCACCGGCACAGGCAGCGUCUAGUAGUGGUGUCCCUACAUAGAGAACACUCACGCACUCACCGGUAUCUGGUGCGCACCUGUCCCCACGUAAUAUAAGGACAGGCAGACAAGCACACCUUCGAGGCUCCGGCGAUAAGCACGCGUGCGUGGAGAGGAGAACAGAAGACGAAGGAGUACGAAGAAGGAAAGAAAAAAGGAGGAAGAAGAGGUGACUGCUCGGCUAACACGGAGGUUCCCGCAACCGCGACACGAGUGAACGCAGCGCUUCCCCCUCCCCCCGCUUCCUCCCUCACGUUGGAUAAUACACGUACCAAAAGACGUGGCCCUCUUCUUGUUCUUCUGCUUCCCUUUCUGCCGUUACUCUUCUCCUCUUUACAUUUUUUCGGUGUUUUGUAAGAAAGAAACACAGCCGCAGACAGACAGACGAACCCCCCUUUCCCAACCAACAACACUCCCCCACCCCUCACACACAAGAUACCUCCUUUUUCUUUUUUUCGUUCUCUCUUCCGACCUUACCCCCCUCCCCCUCAACAACAAAAAACUAAAACACACACACACAUACAUACACAACACAAAAACGAGUAUAUAUAAAGAAAAGAAGGAAGGCGGACCGAACAAGCGAACAAGUGGGAAAAAAGGGAAAGAAAGAGAGCUGUACAGGGCUCACGCGUACAUACACAGCUGUUUGCUUGUCGCUCACGCUUUCACGCUUACGCCUCUCUCUCCCUCACUUUUUUUUCUUUGCUUGUUUGCGUUCUCGUUUAGGAGAGUUGUCGUUGUACAUAUUCGCGCGCGCUCUCUCGGUUCUUUUCUCUGACUCUUCCUCGGAGCCUUUCCCUCGUUCUUCUGUGUUUGCCGUUGUCGUUGUGGUUGUUGUGGUGGCUGUGGUGGUUCACGGUGAGCUGCUCCCUUCCUGUUCUUCUUGUAGUGCCUCCCCUCAUCUUUUAUUGUUGUUGUCUUUUUUUGUCCUUUUCGCGUGUUGUGUCCUUCUUUCCCUCUCGCCCCCUCCCUCUCCCCCUUCUUGUUUUUUGAGCGUAUUCCUCUCUUUCCCUAUUUCCUCGUGUCUUGCCUCCUCCCUCUCUCUGUGUUUGUGUGUGGCUGAGUCUGUAUCACUGUUCUGUGCACUAGUGGUAUCUGCAUUUUUAACUGUUCCCUCACUCCAGCGACACGCCAAUCUGUUUUCUCUCUGUCCCCCUUUUUUUUGUGUGUGCGUGUGCACGCUUGUUUCCGCCUUUGCCAUUAUCCUAUUCUCUGGCGUCUUUGCGAGUCUGGCUGUACGCGAUCUCGUUUUGCUACUCGGAGUGCCACUGACCUUGGCAGUCUUUCAUCUCUCUUUCUAUUCUCUCUCUCCUCCUUGUCGUCGUCGUCCUCCUCCUUUUCCUUCUUUCUUUUUUGUUUUGUUUUUCCCCACGCCCCCCGCUCACGCCUCCCCCGCCGUCUCUACGAGUACUCCGGCUGCCGCUCGUCCCAUCGAUCUGACGCACGGAAAGAAAGACACACACACACACUAUAUAUAUAUAUAUAUAUAUCUUUCACGCACACACGCACGUAAAGUAGGAAAAAAGGGAAGUAUAUCUCGAGUUCACCCCGUCACCACCUCUCCAACGCGGCUCCACACCGAAGUUUCUUUACGCCUUCGUGACCUUCUCUGUCUCUCUCUCUUCUUUAGUCUUUCUCUGUGUGGGCGUCGUUGUUGUUCUUGCUGGAAUAUACCAAGGGAAGGACUCUUCAUCAUUCACCUCGCCUCCUCCUCCUCCUCCAGCCGCUGGGUCAACCACAUAAGUGUGCACAGAGGAGGUGUAUCAGUUACUGCUUGCCUUGCCGUUUUUUUUUCUUGUCCUGACGGAAGUUGUCGUUGGUGUCUGCUCUCCUUUUAUUCUGCUCUGAUCCCUUUCACGCCCACAACUCUGCGUUCGACCUCUCUUUCUCUCUUAGCGUGUGCGUGCAUCUUCUUUCACUCCUUCAACCACUUUUUAUAAGUGUUUUGUGUCGAUUUGUGCACCUUUUUUUUGUUUUAUUUCGCCCCACCACCCCUCUCCGUGCUUCAUCAUGAGCGCCUCGCCCGUGCCCGACACGUUCCACAACAACUCGACCAAGGAGUUCUCGCUUUCGUUUGGAUCUCACGCCAGCGGGUCACAGAGCGAGUCGGGCAUCUCGCAGCGGCUGGACGGUACACACAACUUUGCGACGUCGUCGAUUCUGUCGUUCGACGUGCUGCCAGCCACCGGCGUGAUGGCGGACCACAAGUCUCAGCCUCCAGAUGCCGUUCUCACCGCCGCGGCCGCGAUGAAGGCGACGCCGCAGGCGCCGUCCAAGAAAGGCGGCAAGGGUGCUGCUCGUUCCGCAUCGAUGACCGAUGGUGGUUCUCCUGUUAUAGACCAGGCCCCGACGCCGUCGGCAGAGCCAGUCAAGGUGAAGAAUCAGAACGUCCGCCGCAAUGUGUACAUCUCUGGUGUGCCGCCGACCUACCGCUCGGAGGAUUUCCGGCAGCUGUGCCAGCAGUUUGGACGGGUGGAGGCAGCCAAGCUGUGUGUUGACAAUCGCAAUGCCCCGACGAAGGCCUACGGAUUCGCGCUGUACUACAGCGAAGAGAGUGCGGCGAGCUGCAUCCGCGGACUCAAUGGCAGCUUUUUGCAGGGCCGCUGUGUUCAGGCCCGCCUCGCUGACUCUCACGCCACCCCACAGCCGCUUGGGGAUGCUGGUGCCGCCAUAAACACGACGCUGCCGCCGCCCUCGAUGCAGCGCGACCGCCGUGACAAUAAUAAUCGCAGCCGCCGCAGUGGUGGCUCUCGUCGCGGCUCGCAGGGUCGUCGUGCUGUCAACAACAGCUCCAUCCCCGGCGCAGCUGUUGGCAACAGCGGCAUGCCGAUUCAGAUGCCAUUCAACCCGAUGGGGAUGGCUGGCGCUAUGCCGAGCGGCGGCGCGAUGCCCAUGCCGAUGACGCAGUACUUCCCUUUUAUGGCUCCUGCAGGCGGCGCUGUGACGUCCACCACCGCACUCACGACCUCUGCUAUGGAUGGGCACAUGGCCGUCAACACGUCGCCGUCGACGACCUUCUUCACGGUGACCCCGGCGAGCUGCAGCCCACGCACGGACUGCGGCUUUGGCGCGGCCGGCACGCCUUUGCCCGGCUCUCUCACCCCUGGCGGUAGCGCCAUCAAUGGCGCUCAACGCGGAGGCGCGCCCACGGCCAUGUCGGCUCUGUCCCCGGCAUCCAUGGCUCUCAGUCCCCCGCUGGACUCCCUUCACUCAUCCGACAGCUGCUCCUCUCUGGGGUCGGCGACAGCGGCGACGAGGGGGAACGCCAACGGCGGCCCCGGCGAUGCGGUGGGCAACAACGCUAAUUCUCAAGCUGUCGUUUCCCCCUUCAACUUCCCCUUCCCGAACAUGGCACCCAUGAUGCCGGCGGGGUCUGCGCAGAUGAUGGUCGCGACGGCAGCAGUGAACGGCGCGAACGGCGCGACCUCGACGGAGUGGGCGGCGCCGCCGGCGGCAACAGCCGCCUUCGUGUACUAUCCUUUGCCCACUGGCGGGUACGGUGCCUUUCCAACUACCGCCGCGACUGCGAAUGGUGUCAGCGCGUACCCUGGAUCGCCGUCACCGUCCGGUCCGCCGGCAGCGACAGCCACUGCGAACCCCAUGGCUAAUGGGACAGUCCCGUUCACAUACUUUCCAAUGGGUGCGGUGCCCAUGAACAGCACUGCGACGGGGAUGCCGGCGCUUCCGCCCUACUUGCCGUCAGCCCCCGUCAACGCCAGCAACGGUGGCGCAGAGGGCGUUAGCGGACUGCCGCCGAGCGUCGUCAUGAUGGACAAUGGGAUGGGCUUGCGGCUACAGAUGCUGCGCUGAAGACAAAAAGGAAGCAAAGAUGAAAACAAAAUAAAGACACAAACAUCGAAAAUCGUUCAAGGUGGCGAUCACGUGGACAAGGAAAAAAGUGAGCGGCUGCACGGAUGCAGCACUCGCUACACAGAGCUACUAUGGUCUGCAGCAUCGUGCCUGUAUGUGCGUGUGCUGCUCUUUUUCUUGUUCGCCUUUUUUUUUCCGUCCCUUUCUCUCUCUGGGAACGAUUUCGAAGUCGCUUGUCUCCGAGUUUCCCUGGGUACGCGGCAUAGAGCUUCACCUCCUUGUCUAUGUCGACCUCUUGCUUGCUUAUUUGUGUUAUUUAAUGCACGUUGCGACACUAAUAAGAGGGGCCACACUGCCUUGCGUCUCCAGUGCUACCUUCUCCCCCCUCCUCCCACCCAAACCCAGCAGCCCGAUCGAGCUGCCCGUACUUCCUCUUUCUCUUCUGUUCUCUUCUGCUGCGCGCAUAUAUGCGUAUGUGUCUGUGUGUCUGUCCCUGUGCAUGUGUCGCAUUACUCGAUGUAUUCUCUGAUGGUUCCCUGCUUCUUCUUCGAUCCCUCACCGGCGCCUCGCUGUUUUGUGCAGGCACACACUGGACUCCUGCGCUCACGUUUAGGCGUGUGUUUUUUCCCCCGUAUGUGCGCCUAUGUGCGUUUGUGCAUAUCGGUGCGUGUGUGCAUGUGGGUGGGUGCCAUCUGCUGUUCAUCUGGAGAUGUGCCGUUCUUGCGCCACCAUUGCUGUGCCCCCCGCCCCCACCCCCAUCUCUCUCUCUUAUCCCUCGCGCACAAGAACGUUUUAUUGGUAUCACUGUUUGCUUCACUCUGGUAUCUUUCGGACUCCCACGUUGCCCUACUUUGGCGUCCUGUGCAUCCACUGGAUUCGUUUUCUCUUUUAUUCGUUUUUUAUUAUUUUCCAUUGCGAUGCACUCGUGGAAUACACCGCAGGCGUGCCAUCACUACUCAGCAAGCUGUAUACAUGCAUAGAAAGAGAUGAUGGUGCGCCCGCCAAAGUAAGAUGAGCAGAAAACACACACACACACAGAAAUAAACAAGACGGUACAUUCACACGUGCGCCCCCUUUUCUCCUUUUUUCUUGUGUGCGUCUGCGAGUUUGUGCCGGCGCCUUCCUGCCUCUCUCGCUCUCUCUUCUCUCGUCCUUCUUCUCUUGCGCCCUCUUCUUUUUCGACGCGCCCUCCACGCUCUCCCCUGCUCACUGCACGCGCCUAUAUACAACGUGUUGGCUCCUUCGUUUUAUUCUGCUUUCUCACGCUGCUGCCACUGCUGCUAUUCCCAUGUACAUGAAAAGCAACCAACCAUCACCACCACAACUACCACCAUACAGAAAGAAAGCUAAAAUCGCACUCUGGCACAUACAACGAAGGCAACAUACAAAACACACACACACACACAGCAGGUCACACUGUUGGCGUACGCACGGGGAGUGGGCGGUGAGAGACGUCAAGCGCAGAGGGAAGAGGAGACGUGCUAAUUUGGUAGCUGUCUAAAGAACGGCACUAUCUGUGAUGGAUGUGCUUGCCCGCGCACCAUCAUGAAAAUAGAGAAACACCUCCCAACCUUUCCUUUCUCCCUGGCCGCACAGGGCCACGCGGGGACAUGUGUGAAGGAGGUUCGACGUUUUUUUCUCCCCUUUUCCACACUAUUGCUUGGUUUUCAGUUUUCGUUUUAUCACGUCCAACGCUGCUCGUUUUUCUGCAGGCGAGACGGGUGAUGAGGCAAUGCGGGGAGGGGGAGGCCUCAUCAUCCUUUUCUUUACGUUUACGUUUUCGUUGUCUCGUUCUGACGCCGCUGCCCUCCUUUUUCUUCUCGUUUGCAUUUUUUUUUCACCUUUCCGUUCUGGUUUUGGUAUCUUUCUGUCUCUGUGUGCUUUCCCACUCGCGCCCUGCCUUGAGCGCUUUACUGCCCUUGGUGUGUGUGCUUGCGUGCUUCCUUCUACUGGGUGCACGAUCACUCAUGUAACCCCUCCCCCCCCUGAUGUACACCCCCUCUUCUUUUUGUGUCGUUGUCGUCGUUUCUUCUUAUGACGUCCUAUAUGUGCUGUUUCUCUUUCUCUCCCUGGUUAUUCUUGAUUUCAUCCUCGUAGCAUUGCGGUAGCGAAAAAAAAAGGACGAGUGGGGGAGGGGGGAAGGGGGGGGGGAAGGGGGCGUAGAGAAGACGGCGGCGCGUAGGAAGCGAACAAGCAGACAGGAAACUGAGUAGGCAAGGAACGGGUGUUGGCUGGCGGGUGCUUCAGAAGAGGGGGGGCCCUCCAUCCACCCCUUUGGACUAUACCCACCUCAAGGCUUCUUUCUACUCCCACCUUCCCACCACGCCGCCCAUCUGCCAUUAUAUCAAAGGCCUCCGCUCCUCUGUUUUCUGUUGCGCACGCACACACACACACAGACGGUGUAUCUCUACGUAUUUCUUUCGCCCUACUUUUUUUUUUGGUGUGUGCUUUUUGUCCAAGUAUUACUUGUUGUUUGUAUUUUGUGCUUCUCCCACCCAAAAAAAAAAACAUUCACAGGCGUGUGUGGCGCUCAUGUAGCGCACGUAUGUAUGGCCACUGUCCAUGUGGGCCAGGAUCAAGAGCUGAGCCUCUCCCUCUCUAUCUUCUCUGCUCCUGUCGCUCAGAUAAGCGGCCACUUCUCCACACAUGCGCCAACACACAUGCACACGCAACCGCGCAACGAGGAAAGUGAGGAAAGGGACCGAAAGAUUUGAAGAGACGCACUUGAUUGUCUCAGUUCUUUCUGUGGCUUACCUUCAUCAUACCUGCACCCAGCACUUCCCUUUCCAGACCCAAGGGUUCUCGACUCCUUUUUUUUCGCAUUUUUCUCGCGUUGAUUCCCUUCCCUCCGCACCAGUUUAUUGUCGUUCUUUCCAUUCCCUCUCAGACCGUUUCUGUCUCUGUGCGUCUGUGGCGGCUCUGAGUGCCGAUGGUCUUGCCGUGGGUGCGGGUGUCCGUGCGUUUCUGUGCGCUCGUGUUCAACACGAGACGUUUUUCUUUUUUUUACUGGUGCUAUGUUUGUGUUUUCUUGAGUGCGCAUUAACCGUCUUUCACUCCUUCCUCCCUUUUUUUUUCACUUCAGCUUCCUCCAUUUCUCUCGUUCUUGUCUGGCGUCCAUCGCUUUAUCUUUCCGAACUUCUCUUCUUUUUUUUCUUAGUUCAGUUUCGCUCUUCUUCUUCCCCCUUCCCCCUCUUCUUCCACUAUCUUGUCUCUCCUUCCGACUUGAAGGACAUCAAAAACAGCAACCUGAAAAGGAAAAAAAUUAAUAGGACCUUCUCCUCCUCUCCUCUCUCUUGAUAGCGGCGCUGCUCGUUGCACUGCUGUUCAGUGCUUGGAGCGCUGAUGCUUUUUUCUUUUUUUCUUUUUGUCUUCGCUCCUCCCCCAUGGCAGGCCGUUUCCAUCUUCGUUUUAAGUUUUUUUUUGUGCCCGUCUCCGCUGUUGUUGCUCGCACUUUUUCAUGCGUCGUUCCGCCCAAGUGUUUUUAGCCCUCUUUUUUACCCCCUCCCCCCGUUUUCCUUCUCCUUGUGCUUGUGUUGGGACGUCUCCUGUUGCCGCUGCUGUGUGUCUGAGUGUGUGUUUUCGCUUUCACCCCGUCCUCCUCCUUUUUUUCCCGCACGCUUCGCUUCAUUUUUUGUGCGUGCGCUCGCGCACGGCUGUGCUCUGGUGGCGUCCCUCUUUUCGUCGACGUUCGUCUUCGAUCUCGUUUGGCUCUCCACGUGCUGUUCUCUCUCUAUUAUUAUUUUUUUAUUUCUAUUAUUAUUAUUUUUUUUUUUGCUCCCCUUUUCAUAGGUACGUGCGUGUGGGUUGGUGCGACACGGGCACACUCUUUCUUUCGUUUCUUUUGGCACGAGGAGAAUGCCGUAUAACCGCCACUCCGUUCUCCGCCUCUUUUGGUUUUCAUGCCGGGUGUUGCCUGGUGCGCUGUUUCCUUCAACUCCCUCCCUCUUUCUCUCUCCCGCGUCGCUCACCGUGCUUGGCAAACUGGAAAACAAAAAUGAACAGCACAGGGGAACAGCGGCCGUUCCGAUGGAGGGCAUUGGCUGAGUUUUUCCAGUCGAAAUGCUCGGCUCAUAGGGGAGUUGUAAGGGUAUUCAGUGGGUGGGUGGGGUGUGCGCGCGUGUGUGUGUUUGACGGACUCCUGCAGGAACCCCGAUACACAAACACACCUGUAGUGUAACCCUCCUCUCAUCCUUCUCCUUUAUCUCCUUCGUCCACCACGUCUGCUCACCCCACACCCCCUCCUUUGGGCACUGAAGCUUGUACCACUCCUCCGACUCGUUUUUCUUGUUUUCCUUAAACUCUUCGUUUAUAUCGCCGCCCAUCUCCCUGUCUCUCUGUGCUCCCUCCUGUUUUUCGUGUUUUCUUUGAUUUCGUCUUGCCGUUAGCGGCAUCGGCUGGCUAGAUGCCCUCUGCUUUCCUUUUCCUUUGUCCUCAGCGUGUUGCACACCUCCAGGCUUUCUGUUUCCUUUUAUAUUCAUUUUGUUGCGCUUACCCUUGUCGCGCGUGUGUGUGCUGGUUGGUGUCUUCCUCCCUCCCCCCUUGCACGCGUUCGUGGUGCUGUCAUGGAUGGCCGUCUUCCCUCUUCCUCGCCAAACCUUUCCCCCUUUUUUGCUUUGGCUCUUCGUCUACCCUGCACCUUUUUUUUUUCAUUGCCUUGAUUUGCGGAGCCCCGGUUGACUUGUGCUUUUAACCAUCACGGACGUGAUCGCACACGCACAUAUGCGCGCAGUGUACCUAGGUUCUUUUUUCCGUGUAUUUUUUUUUUCCAGCCUCUUAAAUUCGACUCUCUGUCUGUCGGUUCACUGUUCUCCUGCCUACGAGGGGAGGGGCAAAAGAUCGCUUGCCCCCCCCCCUCUCUCGCGCGCGCUGAAGUAUCUCUAGAAAGUGGCGCUCAGUACGCUCCCUUCUUCACCUUGAUCUUCUUUGGUCUCUUUUUGUGUGUGUUUUUCUUUUUCCGUGUUGCCUGUUGUCGGACGUGCUAUUUGUUUAUUUCUGUGUUUACGCUUUCCCCAUUUUUUCUUCCCCCUUCCUCCCCUCCCCCAUCAUGCUCGUUGUGGGAGGGCUGCCGUCGUCUUUUAUUUCCAUUCUGAGGAGCAGGAUGUUUCUUGCCUUGCCUCUUUCUCUCUCGACUCUCUUUUUUCGCUUGUUAUAUUUUCAUCACCCCUUCCCUUUCUGUUGUUUGAAAAUGUUUACCUGUUCUAUCAUGUUGUUCUUGUCGUACCGCUGUCCAAGCUCGCGUUACUGUUUCCCUUGUUCUUCGUGCCACUCUUGCGACUUCACUGUCUUCGUGUAGGGUUUUUUUUUGUGUGUGCACGUGGUGAGGUAUGAUCACGUUUUUCUUUCAAGAAAACACACUAUAUAUGUUCCUCUUCCCCGGCUUCAGUCUUUGAUACCAUUCUUUUCCUCCUUCUCUCGCUCUGCGAGUCUGUCGCCGCGGCAUCUUGCUGUGGUGUAGCCCCCUGUCGCUGCCACUGCCUCUUGCGUUGGACAGAAUGAGAGCUUGGGGGAGGGGGCCGAGGAGAAGCGGUGAGAGUUGCCCUUUUUCCCAAACCUCCCCGUACUGCCGUAGUGCGUUCUCCAUCGUGCGCCUUUUCCCCUUUUUGUUGUCUUUUUUUUUCGUGCGCUUUUUUCUUCAAUUCCGGUCAUAGAGGCCUCCACGCGUGUGCGAGUGUGUGUUUUCCUUUCUUUGGAUGAAUAAGUGUGCGUGCAUGUAAACGGGGAGGCACUUGCGCGCAAAUGUGAGCAGCUCCUCCUACUCCAGCAGCAGCAGCGGAGCGUCCGCGCGCCGUGGCUCUUUUUUUUUCGCGCUCAGGCGUUGAUCCCACUCCCCUCCGUCGCCGUCUCCGUUCCCGCCCCCGCCCCUGUCAUUCCUCAAAGAGGGAAGAAGACGCAACAUACACCAGAAUAGCAAAAUGAAUGCACCACGUGGGGGGGGGUUGGGGUUUGGCGAAAAAGAUGACAGAAAGGUUGAAACGAAACUCAGCGACACAGAAAAGCGUGCGUGACGGAGAUGUGGACGAGAGGAUGUGCCCGCCGAGGAACUGGCUGGGUGCAUAUCUAAAAAGUAAGCUUCGUCUAGUACAGCGUUUUAUGCACGCCACUGCGCACGGUGAGCAACACCUGCACAGUCGUAUCAGUGACACGCGUGUACUUGGUCGGAUCUUUUCCUCUCAUCUAUUGGGAUUGGAGAGUGCGCCUGCGUAUCUCUCUGGCUAGCCGGUGCUUUUUUUUCCUUGUUUCGCUUACUUUUUUUUUGUGUCGGCGAGCCCCUUCCUCCCUUCCCCCUCCUUCUUCUCGUUGGCCCUCGCCCUGCAUCCUCCUCCACUCUUUUUGCCAUCAUCGGUGAGCGCGGCUCAGCUUGUAGUGACGCGCGAAACGAAAACAAAAAAAAAACGGGAAAAUACCUCGCUCUUGACAUGUCUCGCUGCCUUGCAACAGAACCUGCUGCUUCCGGAUUCACGGAAGAGAGGAAGAAAGCGGAAUACAUUAUGGCCCGGGUCAAGGACCCACCCGGAAGCGAGUUCAUGACACACCCGCAUACAUCUCUAUGUGUGUCCGCUUGCAUGUUUUUAUCUUGCGACGGCGUAUAUGGGGCGGUACAGAACAGCAGAUGCCCCCUGCUCCUAUGUAGUACAUGCCUUGAGGCAGAGAGAGAGCGAGCGAGCGAGAACGGCGGAGUUGCCAAGCAAGAACAAAACGAAACGCGUACUGAACCCUUGCGCCUUCUCUUUUUUUGUUGUGUGUGUGUGUGUCAUAGUGGCGUAGGCAAUCUUUUUUUUGGCUUCGUCUUGUGUGUUUGGUAACAACUCCAGCAAACAUGAAAAGAGAGCGCCGGCUUCAUCUGUGUCUGUGUGUGUGUCCUUCUUCCUUGUGAGUGCGUGGCGAGGCCGCACGCCUUCACCGACCGGAUUUCAUUUCUAUUUCUCUCUUCCCUCUGGAGAGGCUGACAAGAGCGAAGGGAAGCAACGCGACCGGUAGACUUAUCCCAACGCACUCCGGGCCUGAAGGACGAGGAUGUACCUUUGUGGUGUGAGUGGCUGCACAUAUAUAUGUGUAUAUAUAUGUGGACGCAUGCACACGCACUCACGCACACACCUACGCGCGCGAAGUAGAGCACGAAGCACAGAGGUAAAGUGCACCAAUGGAAGCACGAAGGCUCCAAGAACUUAAAACCAAUAAAAAGGAAAGAGGCUUCCACUUGUCGGAUGGACUAUCCAAAGAGCGACAACGGAUGCAAAGAAAAAAAGGUUCACCGCUUCCUCAUAUUUUUUGUUUUACCCCCCCCCCCCCCCCCCUUCGCCCAAUUCUUGUUGCUGACGCCUCACCCAGCCUUUUUUUUAUGUGUGUAAGCGUCACUCGCGGUUGAAAAGAGAAGCGAUACAGGAGGCUGCGGCGGAACGACGGCGUCCUCAUGGAGGGAAAAGAGUCAUCAAGUGACUCUCCUCCGGGCUAGGCACACAUACACAAUCAUACACCGACACGCACCCUCACGCGAAGCAGAUCCUGUCAUGGAGUCCUUGUGAAGGUGUGCCCUGCCCGAGCUUUCUCUCUCUCCUGUUUGAGACUCCUCGUCCCCUUUUGUAGCAUUCUCUUACCUCCUCCUUUUUUUCUUGUUUGGUUACUGUUGUGGUUGUUUGGAGGACUGGUGUGCUGCUCUGCUUUUCUUCGUGGCUUGGCUUCUCCCGACUCCAUCACCCUCCCUUGUUUGUCGGUGUGCGUAAUACGGAGAAGAAGGCACACACACACACACACACACACCAAAAAGAAAGGCGACGCAGCAGCAACAACACCCCAAAACCCUCUCCCCUCUUCGGAACAGUAUACAUAUAUAUAUAUAUAUAUAUACACGGACAUCCACUUGUAUGGCAUCUUACCCGUUUUCGUGUUUUGUCGCCGCCUUGGGGAAGGGUGUAUGUGUAUGUGUAUGUGUGUGUUUGUGCGUAUGCGGACGGCACAUGGUAUAGUUAUGGCUGCUGCCGUGACGGCUGUGAAUGAUGUUCUUUUCUUUCCGCCAGCCUAGCAAUGUGAAAGCACACACUGUUUUUUUUUUAUUGAAGCUCACUCUCUCUGUGCGUGCAGACGUUUUUUGUGUCUGUCGAGAUUCUUUCGCGCUAUUCUUCGUUCUUUUUUUUUCGCCUUCUUCCUCUUCGUGUCCCCCUUUUUUGCUUCUCAUCUUGAGUCUGACCGGAAAACAGAACAAACAGAUCGAAAAACCAGAAGAAACACACGUGCACACACACAGACAGACAGACACGCCGAAGCCAAGAGAGACGGAACGCCCACGCAGACGAUGGAAGAGAGACACGUCUGAUCUUUGAGAGUUGACUUGUCAGGAAGGGCGGCGUGCUGGAAGAGCACCUCUCCCCCCUCCCCCUCUUCACCCCUCCCAUGGCGCGCCUCACAAGCAUUUUGAAAAGAGAGAGCACGAAGCGACGGCGAUGUAGGCAAUGACAGCUUUUCUGCCUCUUAUACGUCAUGAAGCUCCCCACUCUGUUCUCUUCCGGACAGCCCAGCAUCACGCCACAUGCAGACACGCUGAUCUCAAGGCCAUCUUCAGUGAGUGCGCGGCAGGGCCACGCAUCUGCACGCAUCUCUGCUGUUCUGUGCCGCCCUUUUUACCACUACGAGCACCACCCUCUUACUCCCCGUCUCUCUCCUCCUCUCUUACGAGUUUUUGUUCCUGCUUCAUCUC